UGAGCAAUCUGCCCUUCUCUUCGGAAUAAGCGUUGGAAACGACGUCUAAUGCCGAAUACGACCUCCUUUCGCAUGAUCGGAGGUGGAAAGCUCCGGCGGAGAAGGAUGAGCUCGCGGCCUAUCAGCUAGUUGGUGUGGGUAAUGGCCCACCAAGGCGACGACGGGUAGCCGGCCUGAGAGGGUGACCGGCCACACUGGGACUGAGAUACGGCCCAGACUCCGUACGGGAGNAGCG
rnacentral:rRNA from 1 species